AGACAUACACCUCAAUAGAUAACAGGAUAGAGUUUUAUAUUUAUAUUUCUACUGAUUAUAUUCAAGUUAAUCUCAAAACUAUUUUAUGCAGACAAAGAUAAAUACAGCGUCCAAUAUUAUUUUCCAACAACUACAAGUACACAGAAAAUGUAAUUUAUUCCCAACAAUGCGUAAAGCGUAUUUGCAAUAGGGCAGACACAGUACUACUGACCGAAAAUCACACCACAGUUAUCUAUACCUGAGAUUAGAAACCAAAACAAGAAUGAAGUGAACAAAACAGAGGUAUUUUGGAAUACCUCAUAAUAUUAUGCUUCUUCUGUUCCUGUUCUUCCUUCUAUGCCAGUCGAACUCGCAACCAGUUGGUAUCUGAGAGUAUCUCAAAACCAACAGGCCGCAUAGGGACCAGCGGUAAGCUCACUCGUGUUGUUUGUUUCUAAAUGAUGCCAAACGAGUAAACUUCAUGACUUGAGAGAACCUCUCAAAGCCACCAGGCCACAGUGGGACCAGCGUUGAUAUCUUCCGAGUUGUAUAAUUGAAGAAGGUCGGGUCUAUUUCUUGAUUGGUCUUCUGAAAAAGACAGAGGUACAAAUGCAGUUAGUUCAGAUUUCAGAAGAGAAAUAAAAAAAACAGAGGUAUUUUAGAAUACCUCAUUUGGUAAUAACUAGCUAGCUAGAUCAGGACUUGCUGUUUGGUUCAUGCUGUGAAUGCCAGUCGAUCUUGGGAUCUGAUGGUCUUUCCAAUUAAGGCAAAGCCAACGGACCACCAAGCGACCAGCAACACUAUGGAUCUUGUUUAUUAACUUAUAGUCUACAAGUGAACAAAUGUUUCCUAAAAAAAAAGUGAAAACAAAUAUUUGAGUAAAUGUCAUAAAUGCGAGGCGAAACAUAUUCAACUCAAACUUAGGACUUUUAUUGAAACAAAACCCGAAAGUAUGCCGAUAAUCAACAUUACGAUGGAUGGUAGGACUAGAAUUAAGACUACUCAAAUAGGUCUUUUGGAAUAAAACAGAGGUAUUUUGGAAUACCUCAUUUGGUUAUAUAUAGACACACAGACAACUAGCAAGCGUUGUUGUUUCCUUGUUGCCGCUGGCUGCUGAUGCCAGUCGAUCUGGUGAUGUCGUGGUCCUUGCAAUUAAAGCAAAGCCAUUAGACCACCCAAAUGAGCAGCGCAAAGUUAUGUCAUCUUUAUAUACUUAAUAAUCGGGAAUGUGGGAUCUACAGCAUGCAAGGACAAACAUACUCAACAUGAAUUUAGGACUUUUCUUGUGAAGAAAACUUGAAAUUGUGAGUUUGUGACUUCCAUUCAAAAUUCGAUAGUGAAUAUGGGUUUUGCUCAGCACAACAAUCCACCGGUAAUAAGCAUUACAGUGGAUGGUUGAACUAGGACUACUAGUACUCCUCGAGUAGGCAUUGUAGCGAUAACAAAUGAACCGACCAUGCAAGUCGUCACCUUGAUGUGUGGGAGGAAGAGCAACACAGAUCUGGCUGGAUGUCUUUCAUUUCUAGGCUGCGCAUGCUUUACAGUUAGAUACAGCUAAUAUUGGCGGUCCUUAAAAGCACCUCGUUGUAAUCUUAUUUUUCUUGGACAUCAUAAAUUUAUGCAGAGCACAAAACUAAGUCAUGCAUCGUGCUUGUUUUAACCCCAAGUGCAGUAGUGGUAGCAACAAUAGUAGUACCACUUGGAUUAACACAAUAACACUACAACCUCUUAGUCUCUUAUUGCUGAUCGAUCUUUCACCAGUAGAUAGACGAAGACGAUCAACCUGUCUCUAAUACUUGAACCAUGCAUCAUCAACAUGUCUCAUGGUGGUAGGCAGCUGCCCAAAAUCGAUUUGGAUUUACACUUGAACAAUUAAAUGACACAGAGG
rnacentral:lncRNA from 1 species